UACAGGGGGGGGCAAGCGUUGUUCGGAAUUACUGGGCGUAAAGGGCGCGUAGGCGGCCAACUAAGUCACACGUGAAAUCCCCAGGCUUAACCUGGGAACUGCGUGUGAUACUGGAUGGCUUGAAUUCGGGAGAGGGAUGCGGAAUUCCAGGUGUAGCGGUGAAAUGCGUAGAUAUCAGGAGGAACACCGGUGGCGAAGGCG
rnacentral:rRNA from 1 species